UCUUUGUUAGUAUAUCGGUUAGUACACGCGCUUGUCAUCCCAAAUUCCCGGGAAAACCGCGCGAAAGCUGGGUUCGACUCCCAGACAGAGAG